rnacentral:rRNA from 1 species
UUAAGCGACUAAGCGUACACGGUGGAUGCCCUGGCAGUCAGAGGCGAUGAAGGACGUGCUAAUCUGCGAUAAGCGCCGGUAAGGUGAUAUGAACCGUUAUAACCGGCGAUUUCCGAAUGGGGAAACCCAGUGUGAUUCGUCACACUAUCAUUAACUGAAUCCAUAGGUUAAUGAGGCGAACCGGGGGAACUGAAACAUCUAAGUACCCCGAGGAAAAGAAAUCAACCGAGAUUCCCCCAGUAGCGGCGAGCGAACGGGGAGGAGCCCAGAGCCUGAAUCAGCAUGUGUGUUAGUGGAAGCGUCUGGAAAGGCGCGCGAUACAGGGUGACAGCCCCGUACACAAAAGCGCAUGUGCUGUGAGCUCGAUGAGUAGGGCGGGACACGUGGUAUCCUGUCUGAAUAUGGGGGGACCAUCCUCCAAGGCUAAAUACUCCUGACUGACCGAUAGUGAACCAGUACCGUGAGGGAAAGGCGAAAAGAACCCCGGCGAGGGGAGUGAAAAAGAACCUGAAACCGUGUACGUACAAGCAGUGGGAGCACCCUUCGGGGUGUGACUGCGUACCUUUUGUAUAAUGGGUCAGCGACUUAUAUUCUGUAGCAAGGUUAACCGAAUAGGGGAGCCGCAGGGAAACCGAGUCUUAAUUGGGCGUUAAGUUGCAGGGUAUAGACCCGAAACCCGGUGAUCUAGCCAUGGGCAGGUUGAAGGUUGGGUAACACUAACUGGAGGACCGAACCGACUAAUGUUGAAAAAUUAGCGGAUGACCUGUGGCUGGGGGUGAAAGGCCAAUCAAACCGGGAGAUAGCUGGUUCUCCCCGAAAGCUAUUUAGGUAGCGCCUCGUGAAUUCAUCUCCGGGGGUAGAGCACUGUUUCGGCUAGGGGGCCAUCCCGGCUUACCAACCCGAUGCAAACUGCGAAUACCGGAGAAUGUUAUCACGGGAGACACACGGCGGGUGCUAACGUCCGUCGUGAAGAGGGAAACAACCCAGACCGCCAGCUAAGGUCCCAAAGUCAUGGUUAAGUGGGAAACGAUGUGGGAAGGCCCAGACAGCCAGGAUGUUGGCUUAGAAGCAGCCAUCAUUUAAAGAAAGCGUAAUAGCUCACUGGUCGAGUCGGCCUGCGCGGAAGAUGUAACGGGGCUAAACCAUGCACCGAAGCUGCGGCAGCGAACGUAUCACCCAAGACAACUUUGCGGAGUUGACGAUUGACGGAGCGAAGCGACGUCAAAGCGUUCAUUAAAGUCGAGUUGGCUUAGGGAUACGUUCGUUGGGUAGGGGAGCGUUCUGUAAGCCUGUGAAGGUGGCCUGUGAGGGUUGCUGGAGGUAUCAGAAGUGCGAAUGCUGACAUAAGUAACGAUAAAGCGGGUGAAAAGCCCGCUCGCCGGAAGACCAAGGGUUCCUGUCCAACGUUAAUCGGGGCAGGGUGAGUCGACCCCUAAGGCGAGGCCGAAAGGCGUAGUCGAUGGGAAACGGGUUAAUAUUCCCGUACUUGGUGUUACUGCGAAGGGGGGACGGAGAAGGCUAUGUUGGCCGGGCGACGGUUGUCCCGGUUUAAGCGUGUAGGUGUGUGUUCCAGGUAAAUCCGGUUCACUUUAACACUGAGGCGUGAUGACGAGGCACUACGGUGCUGAAGCAACAAAUGCCCUGCUUCCAGGAAAAGCCUCUAAGCAUCAGGUAACACGAAAUCGUACCCCAAACCGACACAGGUGGUCAGGUAGAGAAUACCAAGGCGCUUGAGAGAACUCGGGUGAAGGAACUAGGCAAAAUGGUGCCGUAACUUCGGGAGAAGGCACGCUGACACGUAGGUGAAGUGAUUUACUCAUGGAGCUGAAGUCAGUCGAAGAUACCAGCUGGCUGCAACUGUUUAUUAAAAACACAGCACUGUGCAAACACGAAAGUGGACGUAUACGGUGUGACGCCUGCCCGGUGCCGGAAGGUUAAUUGAUGGGGUCAGCGCAAGCGAAGCUCCUGAUCGAAGCCCCGGUAAACGGCGGCCGUAACUAUAACGGUCCUAAGGUAGCGAAAUUCCUUGUCGGGUAAGUUCCGACCUGCACGAAUGGCGUAAUGAUGGCCAGGCUGUCUCCACCCGAGACUCAGUGAAAUUGAACUCGCUGUGAAGAUGCAGUGUACCCGCGGCAAGACGGAAAGACCCCGUGAACCUUUACUAUAGCUUGACACUGAACAUUGAGCCUUGAUGUGUAGGAUAGGUGGGAGGCUUUGAAGUGUGGACGCCAGUCUGCAUGGAGCCGACCUUGAAAUACCACCCUUUAAUGUUUGAUGUUCUAACGUGGACCCGUAAUCCGGGUUGCGGACAGUGUCUGGUGGGUAGUUUGACUGGGGCGGUCUCCUCCUAAAGAGUAACGGAGGAGCACGAAGGUUGGCUAAUCCUGGUCGGACAUCAGGAGGUUAGUGCAAUGGCAUAAGCCAGCUUGACUGCGAGCGUGACGGCGCGAGCAGGUGCGAAAGCAGGUCAUAGUGAUCCGGUGGUUCUGAAUGGAAGGGCCAUCGCUCAACGGAUAAAAGGUACUCCGGGGAUAACAGGCUGAUACCGCCCAAGAGUUCAUAUCGACGGCGGUGUUUGGCACCUCGAUGUCGGCUCAUCACAUCCUGGGGCUGAAGUAGGUCCCAAGGGUAUGGCUGUUCGCCAUUUAAAGUGGUACGCGAGCUGGGUUUAGAACGUCGUGAGACAGUUCGGUCCCUAUCUGCCGUGGGCGCUGGAGAACUGAGGGGGGCUGCUCCUAGUACGAGAGGACCGGAGUGGACGCAUCACUGGUGUUCGGGUUGUCAUGCCAAUGGCACUGCCCGGUAGCUAAAUGCGGAAGAGAUAAGUGCUGAAAGCAUCUAAGCACGAAACUUGCCCCGAGAUGAGUUCUCCCUGAGACUUAGAGUCUCCUGAAGGAACGUUGAAGACGACGACGUUGAUAGGCCGGGUGUGUAAGCGCAGCGAUGCGUUGAGCUAACCGGUACUAAUGAACCGUGAGGCUUAACCUU